rnacentral:rRNA from 1 species
CAGUAGCCGCGGGAAUACAGAGGUCUCAAGCGUUGUUCGGAUUCAUUGGGCGUAAAGGGUGCGUAGGUGGCGGUGUAAGUCUAACGUGAAAUCUCGGGGCUCAACCUCGAAAUUGCGUCGGAUACUGCAUUGCUAGAGGAUUGUAGAGGAGAGUGGAAUUCAUGGUGUAGCAGUGAAAUGCGUAGAUAUCAUGAGGAAGACCAGUUGCGAAGGCGACUCUCUGGGCAAUUCCUGACACUGAGGCACGAAGGCUAGGGGAGCAAACGGGAUUAGAUACCCCUGUAGUCCCUGUCUCUUAUAC